rnacentral:rRNA from 1 species
UGCAAGUCGAACGAUGAUCCCAAGCUUGCUGGGGGAUUAGUGGCGAACGGGUGAGUAACACGUGAGUAACCUGCCCUUGACUCUGGGAUAAGCCUGGGAAACUGGGUCUAAUACCGGAUAUGACUCCUCAUCGCAUGGUGGGGGGUGGAAAGCUUUUGUGGUUUUGGAUGGACUCGCGGCCUAUCAGCUUGUUGGUGGGGUAAUGGCCUACCAAGGCGACGACGGGUAGCCGGCCUGAGAGGGUGACCGGCCACACUGGGACUGAGACACGGCCCAGACUCCUACGGGAGGCAGCAGUGGGGAAUAUUGCACAAUGGGCGCAAGCCUGAUGCAGCGACGCCGCGUGAGGGAUGACGGCCUUCGGGUUGUAAACCUCUUUCAGUAGGGAAGAAGCGAAAGUGACGGUACCUGCAGAAGAAGCGCCGGCUAACUACGUGCCAGCAGCCGCGGUAAUACGUAGGGCGCAAGCGUUAUCCGGAAUUAUUGGGCGUAAAGAGCUCGUAGGCGGUUUGUCGCGUCUGCUGUGAAAGACCGGGGCUCAACUCCGGUUCUGCAGUGGGUACGGGCAGACUAGAGUGCAGUAGGGGAGACUGGAAUUCCUGGUGUAGCGGUGAAAUGCGCAGAUAUCAGGAGGAACACCGAUGGCGAAGGCAGGUCUCUGGGCUGUAACUGACGCUGAGGAGCGAAAGCAUGGGGAGCGAACAGGAUUAGAUACCCUGGUAGUCCAUGCCGUAAACGUUGGGCACUAGGUGUGGGGGACAUUCCACGUUUUCCGCGCCGUAGCUAACGCAUUAAGUGCCCCGCCUGGGGAGUACAGCCGCAAGGCUAAAACUCAAAGGAAUUGACGGGGGCCCGCACAAGCGGCGGAGCAUGCGGAUUAAUUCGAUGCAACGCGAAAAACCUUACCAAGGCUUGACAUGAACCGGAAAGACCUGGAAACAGGUGCCCCGCUUGCGGUCGGUUUACAGGUGGUGCAUGGUUGU